rnacentral:rRNA from 1 species
AGAGGGGGGGAUCUUAGGACCUCUCGCUACAGGGGCGGCCGAUGGCAGAUUAGCUAGUUGGUGGGGUAAAGGCCUACCAAGGCGACGAUCUGUAGCUGGUCUGAGAGGACGACCAGCCACACUGGGACUGAGACACGGCCCAGACUCCUACGGGAGGCAGCAGUGGGGAAUUUUGGACAAUGGGCGCAAGCCUGAUCCAGCAAUGCCGCGUGUGUGAAGAAGGCCUUCGGGUUGUAAAGCACUUUUGUCCGGAAAGAAAUCCUUUGCCUUAAUACCUCGGGGGGAUGACGGUACCGGAAGAAUAAGCACCGGCUAACUACGUGCCAGCAGCCGCGGUAAUACGUAGGGUGCAAGCGUUAAUCGGAAUUACUGGGCGUAAAGCGUGCGCAGGCGGUUCGCUAAGACAGAUGUGAAAUCCCCGGGCUUAACCUGGGAACUGCAUUUGUGACUGGCGGG